AGAUGCUGGCAGUGCAGGGGCUGCAGGAAGCACUACUCUUGAAGGCUACGUCAUUGCAAUCAUUGUUCUCUCCUGUAUUGUGCUCCUGGCCCUUCCUAUACUAAUUAUCAUGGCUUUAAGGCUUGGAUUUUGCAGCCGAUUAAUAGAUGCUUGCAGUACGGGGGCAGCUGGUAACUUGCCCGAGACUGGAUUGAGGGUCUCGAGCGUUCGAGUCAACAUACCAAGUUUAAGGUUUGGUUCCUAUAACCUUCCCCGAUGAUGUCUCAAUCGGAAAAACAAAGGCACACGAAAUGAAGCAAACCGUACAAAUGUUUACAAUAUAUCCGAGGGGAACGUGCAAUGGAAGAUUUUUUCCUUCACUUUUUGGAGGCGUUCCACUGAAACAUUGAUAAAGACGUCAUUGAGAUGAGAUUGGUCUCGUUGACCUCUGAAGCAGUGAAUGGUAGCUUGAGAUGUCAGUGUCAUUAGUACGACAAAUACAAAAAAA